rnacentral:lncRNA from 1 species
UAAUAUCUUAAAGGUCUUCACGUGGCUCAUGGGGAGUUCUAAUUGGUUCAUGCGGGCAUUGGACUAUGGGUUUUGGCAUGGUCCGAGUUGAGUGGGUGGGGUGAUGUGGGACCAAACAGGUGCAAGUGUGCGGCUUCAAAUGAGUGCUUCAUGCGAAAAUUCAAAUGGGUGAGCACAGCGAGAUGCUAUUGGUUCACAUGGGC